GGGGUUGUGGCUCAAUGUGAGAGCACUCACUUUGCACGUGUGAGGCACUGGGUUCGAUCCUCAGUACCA
rnacentral:tRNA from 1 species